AAAUAGACUCUAAUACAGGACUACAAUCCCCACAAGCCUUUGCUCCACUUCCCCAAAAUGCUUUGUAAUCUCACGGGAAUUCUGAGGUGGGCUGAGAUCGAGAAAGGAUUUAAGCUGGUGGCAAAGAUUUUUGGGUCUCUUUUGGACUUCCGUUUUGGAGCAGAGGCGUCUCUUCCAUGAUGUUGUAAGCUCUUUUUUAGAAAGGAUUUUUUUCUUCGCAUUUGUGCCUGAUGAUGAAACUGGGACAAACAAGAUUAGGUGACUGGCCCAGGAUCAUAUAGCUGGUAAAUCUACUGUGAAUGUUAUGAGCCAAGCCCAGAUCACCGACUUCAAACAGAAUCACGGCUACCUGUAGAGAGUUCUGCUGGCAGACAGGCUUUUACUAAAGCCAACAGAGCAGAGGUGAGGAUAAAAAAAAAAAGCUUAAUUAACAUUUUAGAUGUGUUACUGGUUGGGCGAUUUAAGGUAGCUUAUUAAACUUUCCCUGUUGUCUACAGAAGGCUAUGCAUUUUUUUCUCUUCUAUUUUCCAGAUGUAAUCAAUGUGAUUCUAAUAGCUGAACACAUUAGCAUGAGGAGGUUUUGAUAUGCAUGACCUAAGUUCCUUUUCUAUCAGCACACAUCAAUCAGUUAACUUGCUUCAAGAUAUUAAACUCUUUCCCUUUUACCAAAACAACGUCACAAAAAAACAAUAACAACAACAAGAAAAAAAACAAGAAAAGAAGUCCCAUCAAAUCUUUAUUCUUCUUUCAGAAUACAUAUUGUCUGAUGGCAGAGGGGCAGGUGCCACCCCAGGGUCACAUGUUUCCAUUCAUUCAAUAGGCAUUUAGUAAUCAUCUAUUAUGGCCAAGACCCAGAGUAGAUGCUAAGGCUACAAAAAUAAAAACAACAAUUCCAGAUCUCAACGAAAUUAUUGUCUAUUUGGAGAGAAUCAGUAAGUAUGCAGAGAGGCAAACACAAAAUAAUUUCAAACAGGUUACAGCCCUAGAAACUUUGGGGAUCAGCUUGGGAUUCCUCUAGGAAGUGGUAGCUGAUCUAAAAACUGAAAGAAACUAGGGAUUUUAAAAGACCUAUUAAACAUUUAAGGAGAUGGGAGAUGGAAUACUAAAUCUGUAAUUAACAAUAAUUAAUUAAGC